rnacentral:rRNA from 1 species
UACGGGGGGGGCAAGCGUUGUUCGGAAUUACUGGGCGUAAAGGGCUCGUAGGCGGCCAACUAAGUCAGACGUGAAAUCCCUCGGCUUAACCGGGGAACUGCGUCUGAUACUGGAUGGCUUGAGUUUGGGAGAGGGAUGCGGAAUUCCAGGUGUAGCGGUGAAAUGCGUAGAUAUCUGGAAGAACACCGGUGGCGAAGGCGGCAUCCUGGACCAACACUGACGCUGAGUGAGCGAAAGCCAGGGGAGCAAACGGG